rnacentral:lncRNA from 1 species
UGAGUUUUUGUGGCUGCGGGCUUUACGAUUUACAGCUCCAUCAUGUGUUGCGGCGCGUUGCGUUUGUAGCUGCAUUGUAUUUCUUGAAGGACAAUUGUCGCAAACCUGCCAUAUUGAUGUGUUAAUACGGUGAUGGUGAGAGCUCAUCAGUACAUUUUGCCCGAGGGGAGGAUUGAUUUGGUUUUGGUCUUGGUAAGGAAGGGGGCACCAAAGUCCUCUGGCUGAUGAUGCCGCAUGGCACGCAAUACGCGUCCAUCUUUGUUGCCGUACGGUAGAUUGUUCCUGGCGUUCCAGAAUGCUAACGUGGCAGCGUGGGGGUUUUGGACGUGCCAGCUUAAUUUGUUCGCUCCGGGAAUGGAAUGAAGAUGGAGAGAGAGAGGGGAUGGAGAUGAUUUGCCCUUCAGCUCGAGUAGGGCAAUAUACAUGAUGGCCGCUGACCGGUUAGUGGGCAGACCGGUUGUAAAUAUUCCUGCCUUAUCAGUGGUUUGCGAAUGAUUACGAGCAUACGUUGGGUCUGCGCAGAAAAAGACGACAGUUAUCGGUGCAUUACCAUGUUCCUGCCAGGGACGACUCCUCGGCCAGGAAUUACGCGCCAGGGAUGCUUACGUACGCGUUUGGUGCAAGGGUUUUAAUGCAUUGCCAGCCCUUUCAGUUAUUCGUCAUCGGUUGAGGCUAAGUUUCAACCCCCCCUUGCAUGUCGCCGACGCCAAGUAACGAUGUGUCACUAUACGCAUUCCUAAAGGGGUCCUUAUCCUUUCAGCUUACCGCGCUAAGUCAUAAACGCGAUCCGGGAAUGGGCAUGAAGCCCCCCAAAGCUCCUACCCUAAAUAGCACAAGGUCCAAGCGACUCUGGCAGAUACACUCCAAGACGACAGGCAUCCUUCAUACUACCAGAUCUGCCCAAUACACUGACUUCAACCUAAAAGCAAACGGCCUCAGUGGCCCUCCGCAAGCUUGUAUCGCUCAAGCUGAUGUUUGUAAGAUUCCCACAUACACAUUGACUCAAGCAUCUGCCGAACCUGGUCGACAAGUUGUUUGAGUACUUCGUUUUUCAUGGAUAUCUCUGCCUGCUUCUGCGCAGCGCAGCUGGCAGGGCCAUUUGCGGCAUCCGGCGUGUCCACAAUGCUGCCUUGGCCUUCUGCGUGCGAACAGGUUUUAAUGUUGUGCACUUGCUGUACAAUAAUGCGUCGAUACUUGAUUUCAAAAUCUUCGUGACCACCUCGUGAAUUAACAGAACAACGGUUUCCUCACCGUGGCCGCCUUCGCUAAUGAUAUGGGCGGCUAGGGAGCUGCAUUCCAGUGUUGUUCUACGAAGCACCGACAUCGCUUGUAAGUAUUGCUGCUGAAGAGCAGCCUGUCGUGGCAACGCAUCGUUUGGGUCGCCAAAGCCCAAAUCGGCAAAUAUCUGCCUCACAGUUGCUAUCACGUUCUGCAAUUGGAGAAGACCCUCUGCCGCAAGGUCGUUCAAUUGCCCAAGCUGAUUUGUCGCACGCAAUGCCAUUUCAUAAACAACUAAUGCAAGUCAGCCAAGGCUAAUGACGUUUGUCUUUCCGACCUAUACAAGAGCGCAGCAAUUCUAGUGCAUUGUACGAAUGUAAGUACGGCAUCGAUAGGAAGCCACUUGACCCUGUUUUCUGCUAUCCUCGAUUCCUUGCUUUCGAUUGGC